GACGAACGCUGGCGGCGUGCCUAAUACAUGCAAGUAGGACGCAGUUGCGAACGGGUGAGUAACGCGUAGGUAACUGCCUAUUAGAGGGGGAUAACUAUUGGAAACGAUAGCUAAUACCGCAUACUAGUAGAUGGACCUGCGUUGUAUUAGCUAGUAGGUAGGGUAAUGGCCUACCUAGGCGACGAUACAUAACCGACCUGAGAGUGUGAGCGGCCACUCUGUGACUGAGACACGGCCCAGACUCCUACGGGAGGCAGCAGUAGGGAAUCGUCGGCAAUGGGGGGAACCCUGACCGAGCAACGCCGCGGUAGUGAAGAAGGUUUUCGGAUUGUAAAGCUCUGUUGGUAAGGAGGCGGUACUUAACCAGAAAGGGACGGCUAACGACGUGCCAGCAGCCGCGGUAGUAC
rnacentral:rRNA from 1 species